GCCAGGGUGCUGGAAUUGGUAGACAGGCGUCGCUCAGAACGGCGUGUCUCUUAGACAUGUGGGUUCGACUCCCACCCUUGGCA
rnacentral:tRNA from 1 species